CUCUAUCCCCAUUUCAUUUACUUCUUUCAGUCCCCCUCCUCAAAAGGCCAUUGACUUCUAUGUUCUUUGCUAAUAUCACACAGAUUAGAGAGCAAUUCUUCCUCUUGUAGGAAUACAAAAGUGAGAUGGAUGAUGUUUUGCUUAAUGUUGUUAUAGAGGGAGUUCUGAAUAAGUUAAUUUCACUUGUGGCUGAAGAGAUCAACAUAGUGUGGGGUGUCAAGGAAGAUCUUGAAAGUUUAGCUCGAAAUCUGGAGAUGAUUCAAGCUUUGCUGGUUGAUGCUGAAUGCCAACAUAACAGUAACAAAGCUGUUGAAAUUUGGCUUAGAGGGCUCCAGGAUGUGUCGUCCGAGGCUGAUAACUUGCUAGAAGAGUUUGCAUAUGAAGUUCUUCGCAACAAGUUGAAGAAGAGCAAGGUUUGUAGCUUCUUUUCUUGGUCAUAUCCGCUCGCAUUCCGUUUCAAAUUUGCUCACAAGAUUAAGAACAUGAACUUGAGCAUAGAGAAAGUUUAUCAGGAAGCGGAAAGGAUUCGACUUAGGCCGGUCGAGUUAGUUAACAUGUCUAACAAUCCCAGAAGUGAUCGAUCUAGUGCUACUGAUCCUUUUGUUGAUGAUUCCAGUAUUGUGGGAAGGAGUGAGGUAGUGAACAAGGUUGUAAACUUUUUAACUUCUUCAGAGAAGGAUGGUAAUAACUUAUCAGUUAUUGGUAUAGUUGGGAUGGCUGGUUUGGGCAAGACAACGAUUGCUCAGCUAGUCUACAAAAAUGAAAAGGUGCUGAGGCAUUUUGAUCAAAAAUUGUGGAUCCACGUGUCAGAAGAUUUCAAUGUUGAAAGACUCUUAAAUAAGAUGGUAGAGUCUCUUACAGGAACCAGCCCUAAUCUGACAGUUGCAGAGGCAAUUGUAAGAAAGCUUAACGAGGUACUUAAAACUAAAAGAUUCUUGCUUGUAUUGGAUGAUGUUUGGAAUGAAGAUGAAGAGAAAUGGGAUAGAAUGAGGGAGUGUUUGCGAGGGAUAGGUGGAUCAGACGAAAGCAGGAUAAUCGUGACAACUCGAAAUGAGACAGUUGUUUCAAUCAUGCGAGCAUCUUUUACCUGUCAAUUGGGAACACUUUCUGCUGGUGACAGCUGGGAAUUGUUUGAGAAAAUAGCAUUUGGUCACGGUUGUGCAGCAGUAAAGACUCCUGAAUUGAUAAAUAUAGGAAGAAAAAUUGUUGCUAAGUGCGGUGGUGUGCCAUUGGCAGUAAAGGCAAUAGGAGGUUUGUUGUACUCCAAAAAGGAUGAACGUGAGUGGUCAAAAAUAGAAAAUAGUGAAACCUGGGCUACAAUGGAAGAAGCUGGAAGAAGAGUCAGAUCCGCUAUAAAGUUAAGCUACGAUCAUUUGCCUUCAUUGUCGUUGAAACAAUGUCUUUCAUAUUGUACUAUAAUGGGAAAGGGUGGCGUUGCAACAGUGGAAAGCAUGAUACAACUUUGGAUGGCACAGGGAUUGCUUAAUCCUUCCAAGGGAAGUCACCUGGAAAUGGAGGAUGUUGGAACUAACUACAUGAGUAUUUUGGUCCGGACUUCUUUGUUGCAAGUUUCCGAGAAGGAUGGGUUUGGAAGAACUAUAAAAUUCACUAUUCACGAUCUUGUGUAUGACUUUGUUGAAGAAGCAGCUAAAGAGUCCAUUUUCUUGGUUCCCUCGGUUGAACUUAGAACCGGUAGGGAAAGUCUUUUAAAGCCGCGAACUUUGAUUUUGAGCGAUGGCCUUGCACAUGAUUUGCCGAUCGUUCGUAAAAGCCUUCGAGUCUUAGUUCUUGAAGAUGAAGAUGUUAAGGAAUUGCCAACCACGAUUGGAAAGUUGAAGCGUUUAAGAUAUCUUGACAUCUCCAGGACUUCAAUAACAGAACUCCCAAAUCCCAUUACACAGUUGUACAAUUUGCAAACAAUGAGACUGAGUAAUCUGCAACAGCUUCCCAAAAAUUUUGGAAAUUUGGCUAACCUGAGACAUUUGUGCAUUGGAAAAGAUGGAAUCAUCAACGGCAAGCCGUGUUUGCUUCCUGAUAUAGGGCAAUUGAGUUCUCUUCAGACAUUGCCUUUCUUCUAUGUAUGUCAAGAUAAGGGAUGUCAAAUUGAUCAGUUGGGGCAUUUGCACAAUCUCAGGGGCGACCUCAAGAUCUUUGAUCUCCAGAAUGUUAGCAACCAAGAGGAAGCAAUCAAAGCAAAAAUAUCCACAAAGAUAAACCUUGAUAGUUUGGAACUUCACUGGGAUACUAGGACUAGAGACGAAUCCACUGAUGAGGAUGUUUUGAAAGGUCUUGAACCUCACCCAAAUUUGAAAGGUUUCACAAUGGAAAACUUUAUGGGCCGAAGCCUUCCACCGUGGAUGCUGACCACAAGCCAUCCUUUGGUCUUUCGCAAUCUUGUGAAGAUCGUGCUGAGGAACUUCAACAAGUGUCAGCAAAUUUCACCACUUUGGCACCUCCCUCACCUCAAUAUUGUCAACAUAAUUGGAAUGGAAAGUGUAAUUUGCAUCGGCACUGAUUUCUUCGGUUGGAAAAAUGUUGAUGAUGCAAGUAGCAAUCCAAGUGGCCUAGCAGGGGAUGCUGUGGUUUCAUUUCCGGCACUGAAAGAACUAAUUCUGGAGGAUAUGCCUGGUUUGAAAGAGUGGUCAGGUUUGAUGUGCCACGAUUCAUCACAUUCAUUAGUCAAGAUAUUCCCUUCUUUGGAGAUUUUAAGAGCCAAGAUCUGUCCCAAAUUGGUAAGCCUGCCAGAUGGUGUUUGGCACAACCUUAGAUGCAUUAAAGAACUAUGGAUUUCAGAUUGCGAUAGUUUAAGUCAUCUACCAAAGGACGUGGGAGGAUUGGCAUCUCUUGAGAUUCUAACAGUAAUGUCUUGCCCCAAUCUUGUUUCCAUUCCAGAUAUUCAUUCCCUACGAUCUCUAGUUCAGCUGACCCUUGCGGGAUGCAACAACUUGCGCUCACUACCAAGUGGAAUAGAAGUCUGUACAUCAAUCAGGCGGUUUGGAUUAUUGGAGUGCCCUGCUAUUCAACCAGAGGAUUUGCAUCAUCUGUCGAGGAUGAUUCAACUACAAGAAUUGGUGCUAGGCGAUUUUUCUUAUGAUCUUGAUUAUUUCCCCUGGCCCAGCUACGCCAUUAAUCCUUGCAGAGUUUCUAUUACCGAUUAUGAAAACAAAGAAUUCCAACAUCCUUUUGCCUCGUUGGCGUCUCUUGUAUUAUAUGGUUGGCAAGCAGUCACAUCCCUGCCGGAGCAGAUUCAGCAUCUCUCCAACUUGUCCUUUUUAAGGAUAGAGCAUUUUGACGGGGUCGUGGCUCUGCCAGAGUUCUUGGGUAGAAUCCUUUCACUCGAAGAACUGCACAUUGAAGACUGCCAAAAUCUGUUGUAUUUGCCUUCUGCUGAGGCAAUGCGUCACCUCAUCAAAUUAAGGAAAUUGACAAUUGAAGAAUGUCCCCGUCUCAAGGACAGAUGCAAGAAAGAGAUAGGCCAAGAAUGGGACAAGAUUGCUCAUAUUCCAGAAAUUCAGCUGCUGCCAUGAACAUGUGCAAUGCAUCGCCUCAUCUUACUUUGCUUAAUACAGCAACUACAUGCACAUUUCAGUCUCCAUUUCCAAAGGGAUAAGAAACCCACCAAUAUUUAUUUCAGAGAAGAAAAGGGUUGUUUUCUUUCUGGGGAGAGGAUUUCAGAAAAUGGCAGAGGAAGAAGUGAGCAAUAAGCAAGUUAUACUGAAGAAUUAUGUCAGUGGUUUCCCAAAAGAGAGUGAUAUGGAGGUGAAAACGACUGCUUUGAAGUUGAAGCUUCCGGAUGGCGGCGAUUAUUCAGCGGCAAUCUUGGUGAAGAAUCUGUAUUUGUCUUGUGAUCCUUAUAUGAGAUCCCGCAUGCGCAAGCUUGAAGGUCAUUAUGCUGAGGCCUACACUCCUGGCUCUUGGGUCUUGGAGUGGCUAGAGUUUUGGAGUCAAACAAUCCAAAAUUCAGCAAGGGUGAUCUGCUGUGGGGA